rnacentral:pre_miRNA from 1 species
ACAACAUUCGGACUGUCGGUCUAUCGAGCAAUAUCAUCCGCUCGGUGAAAGACCUUAUCUCCAUCGU